rnacentral:rRNA from 1 species
AGCGAACGCUGGCGGCAGGCUUAACACAUGCAAGUCGAGCGGGCAUCUUCGGAUGUCAGCGGCAGACGGGUGCGUAACACGUGGGAACGUACCCUUCGGUUCGGAACAACUCUGGGAAACUGGAGCUAAUACCGGAUACGCCCUUAUGGGGAAAGGUUUACUGCCGAAGGAUCGGCCCGCGUCUGAUUAGCUAGUUGGUGGGGUAACGGCCUACCAAGGCGACGAUCAGUAGCUGGUCUGAGAGGAUGAUCAGCCACACUGGGACUGAGACACGGCCCAGACUCCUACGGGAGGCAGCAGUGGGGAAUAUUGGACAAUGGGCGCAAGCCUGAUCCAGCCAUGCCGCGUGAGUGAUGAAGGCCUUAGGGUUGUAAAGCUCUUUUGUCCGGGACGAUAAUGACGGUACCGGGAGAAUAAGCCCCGGCUAACUUCGUG